GACGAACGCUGGCGGCGUGCUUAACACAUGCAAGUGGAGCGACGAACCAGGGCUUGCCCUGGGGCAAAGCCGCGAACGGGUGAGUAUCACGUGGGUAACCUGCCCCGAUGACCGGGACAACCCGAGGAAACUCGGGCUAAUACCGGAUGUGCUCUCCGCACAUCAGUGCGGUGAGUAAAGGAAGCUUCGGCCUCCGCAUUGGGAGGGGCCCGCGGCCCAUUAGCUUGUUGGUGGGGUAAAGGCCCACCAAGGCCGCGAUGGGUAGCUGGUCUGAGAGGACGAUCAGCCACACUGGGACUGAGACACGGCCCAGACUCCUACGGGAGGCAGCAGUGGGGAAUCUUGCGCAAUGCGCGAAAGCGUGACGCAGCAACGCCGCGUGAGGGAAGAAGGCCUUCGGGUUGUAAACCUCUUUCAGGAGGGACGAAGGGCCGGCGGCGAAUAGUCGUCCGGUCUGACGGUACCUCCAGAAGAAGCCCCGGCUAACUACGUGCCAGCAGCCGCAGUAAGA
rnacentral:rRNA from 1 species